GAACGCUGGCGGCAGGCCUAACACAUGCAAGUCGAGCGGCAGCGGGAAAGUAGCUUGCUACUUUUGCCGGCGAGCGGCGGACGGGUGAGUAAUGCCUGGGGAUCUGCCCAGUCGAGGGGGAUAACAGUUGGAAACGACUGCUAAUACCGCAUACGCCCUACGGGGGAAAGCAGGGGACCUUCGGGCCUUGCGCGAUUGGAUGAACCCAGGUGGGAUUAGCUAGUUGGUGAGGUAAUGGCUCACCAAGGCGACGAUCCCUAGCUGGUCUGAGAGGAUGAUCAGCCACACUGGAACUGAGACACGGUCCAGACUCCUACGGGAGGCAGCAGUGGGGAAUAUUGCACAAUGGGGGAAACCCUGAUGCAGCCAUGCCGCGUGUGUGAAGAAGGCCUUCGGGUUGUAAAGCACUUUCAGCGAGGAGGAAAGGUUGGUAGCGAAUAACUGCCAGCUGUGACGUUACUCGCAGAAGAAGCACCGGCUAACUCCGUG
rnacentral:rRNA from 1 species